UACGUAGGGGGCAAGCGUUAUCCGGAUUUACUGGGUGUAAAGGGAGCGUAGACGGCUGUGCAAGCCAGAUGUGAAAGCCCGGGGCUCAACCCCGGGACUGCAUUUGGAACUGUGUAGCUGGAGUGUCGGAGAGGCAGGCGGAAUUCCUAGUGUAGCGGUGAAAUGCGUAGAUAUUAGGAGGAACACCAGUGGCGAAGGCGGCCUACUGGACGGUGACUGACGCUGAGGCUCGAAAGCGUGGGGAGCAAACAGG
rnacentral:rRNA from 1 species